rnacentral:misc_RNA from 1 species
CAACCCUCAAGCCCCCUCGGGCUUGGUGUUGGGGACCGGCGAGCUCCUCUUGCUCCGCCGCCCCCGAAAUGCAGUGGCGACCUCGCCGCAGCCUCCCCUGCGUAGUAGCACAACCUCGCACCGGAGCGCGGAGACGGUCACGCCGUAAAACGCCCAACUUUCUUUAGAG